UACGAAGGGGGCUAGCGUUGUUCGGAAUCACUGGGCGUAAAGCGCACGUAGGCGGCUUUCUAAGUCAGGGGUGAAAUCCUGGAGCUCAACUCCAGAACUGCCUUUGAUACUGGAGAGCUUGAGUCCGGGAGAGGUGAGUGGAACUCCGAGUGUAGAGGUGAAAUUCGUAGAUAUUAGGAGGAAUACCUGUGGCGAAGGCGGCCUUCUGGGCCGUUUCUGACGCUGAGACGCGAAAGCGUGGGGAGCAAACAGG
rnacentral:rRNA from 1 species